GACAGAGGGUGCAACCGUUGUUCGGAAUUACUGGGCGUAAAGCGCGUGUAGGCGGCUAAGCAAGUCGGGCGUGAAAUCCCACCGCUCAACGGUGGAAGUGCACCCGAAACUGCAUAGCUAGAGUCCUGGAGAGGAAGGUGGAAUGCUUGGUGUAGAGGUGAAAUUCGUAGAUAUCAAGCGGAACACCGGUGGCGAAGGCGGCCUUCUGGACAGUGACUGACGCUGAGACGCGAAAGCGUGGGGAGCAAACAGG
rnacentral:rRNA from 1 species